UGCUCUAGUCCCCUUCUGCUUUAAUGUCACCUAUAUUCUGUUAUCCUUUGUCUCUCCUUUCCCCUCCCCAGGCUUGCUUAACCCUCUCACGAUCCCCUUUCUGGUUUCUUAACCUGAAUCCUCCAUACACUCAUGUAUAUGCGGAAACACUGAGACCUAGCGUCCACAUGUGAGAGAAAUCAUGUGACACUUGUCUUCUGGUACUUCGCUUAAGAUACUCAUUCCCAGUCCCAGUCACUCACAUGUCCCAAGUUCAGUUUUCUCUGUGGCUGAGCACAACCCCUGUCUCUGUAAACUUUCCUCGUCCUUCAUCUGAACAUGGACAUUGGCUGCUUCUAUCCUGGUCACCGUGACUGCGCAACUGAAGCUUACUUAUCUUUCCAAGAGUCUCGGUGGUCAGACUUGGGGUCCUUUGGGUCUUGGCCUGGGAGUGGUAUAGCUGGCUCAUAUACUUCCAUUUUCAGUUUCUAUUUUUUUUCUAAUUGGAAAUUAUUUAAAUUCUCCACCAGAAGCGCUUGCCUAGGAAGUGCAAGGCCCUGGGUUCGUUCCCCAGCUCCGAAAAAAAAAAGAAAAAAAAAGAACCAAAAAAAAAAAAAAAUUCUCCACCAGAAGAAAAUGGUUGUGUCAAUCAUGGGGAAAUCAAUAAUAAAAUCUCAUAGACUGAUAUGUGUAGGAUGAUGUCAUUAUGCAGCAAGGCGUGUCCAGGAUAAGGCGUAACCUAACAUUGGAUGAGAAGGAAGGGUAGGCGGGGAAAAGCCUAGGGAGGAGGGAGGAGGAAGAGUGAGAAAAGUCAAGAUGGAGACCACAGAGCAGGAUGAUCCGGAUCCAGGUGGACUGGGACGAUUUUGUCUUGUCUAGCAUCAUCCCAUCCAAAAUGCAGUAGCCACCUUCCUUUGUAGUCCAUGAGGGCUAGGAACACUUAAUAAGGUACCUACCGGAAGGAAUGAGGGCCAGGCAAGAUGGCGCACACCUUUAACCCCAGCAAUCGGAAAGCAGAGGCUGACGGGUCUCUAUAAAUUCAAGGUCAUCCUGGUCUACGUAAAUGAGGCCCUGUCUCUAAAUAAAUAAAUAAGGGGCACAGUUUGCUCUCGUUUGAAAAUGCAGCAGCAAGGAUAACCUAAGAAACACACUAUAAACGCCGACAUGUGCCUAGAAUGGUGACAGGCAUGCUGUUAGCAAGAGGCAACAAAGCAUGAUGGGAAAUACCACGCCGUGGAGACCAAGCCAACCGCUCGUCCCUACCCUCGGAGAAUGUCUAUGGCUGAGAAAUAACCCUGUCCAUCUCGCCUCAUCUGCUGUUCGAUGGAUUUUUCUGCCACGUCUGUGUCUUCAAUGAGACAUUUAGGUAGACGAGGACCAUUGAUCCAUAUCCUAGCUCGAGUUGAUCAAAGGGAACAAACUCCAACAGCAUCAGGUGUCGGUGCCCGCACUCCUUUCCUGUCCAGCAAGCAUGAGAGACUUGCUUUCACAUCCCUUCCUUUGGCUGGAGAGAUGGCUCAGUGGUUAAGAGCACUGACUGUUCUUGAAAAGGUCAUAAGUUCCAAUCCCCACAACCGCACAGUGGCUCACAACCAUAUUUAAUGAGAUUUUCUGGUGUGUCUAAAGACAGCUACAGUGUACUUAUACAUAAUAAAUAAAUCUUUAAAAAAAAAA